UUUUUGGCUCAGAACGAACGCUGGCGGCAGGCUUAACACAUGCAAGUCGAGCGGUAGCACAGGGAGCUUGCUCUCGGGUGACGAGCGGCGGACGGGUGAGUAAUGUCUGGGAAACUGCCUGAUGGAGGGGGAUAACUACUGGAAACGGUAGCUAAUACCGCAUAACGUCGCAAGACCAAAGAGGGGGACCUUCGGGCCUCUUGCCAUCAGAUGUGCCCAGAUGGGAUUAGCUAGUAGGUGGGUAACGGCUCACCUAGGCGACGAUCCCUAGCUGGUCUGAGAGGAUGACCAGCCACACUGGAACUGAGACACGGUCCANANUCCUACGGGAGGCAGCAGUG
rnacentral:rRNA from 1 species